rnacentral:rRNA from 1 species
AAUCAACGCUGGCGGCGUGCUUAACACAUGCAAGUCGAGCGCGAAAGCGGCUUCGGCCGUUAGUAGAGCGGCGGACGGGUGAGUAACACGUGGGUAACCUGCCCUCGGGUGGGGAAUAACUCAGGGAAACCUGGGCUAAUUCCGCAUAACAUCUCGAGCUCUUUGGGGCAUGAGAUCAAAGCUGGGGACCUUUCGGGGCCUGGCGCCUGAGGAGGGGCCCGCGGCCGAUUAGCUUGUUGGUGAGGUAAUGGCUCACCAAGGCUACGAUCGGUAGCCGGCCUAAGAGGGCGGACGGUCACACUGGGACUGAGACACGGCCCAGACUCCUAUGGGAGGCAGCAGUGGGGAAUUUUUGGCAAUGGGGGAAACCCUGACCAAGCAACGCCGCGUGGAGGACGAAGACCCUCGGGUCGUAAACUCCUGUCGGAGGGGACGAAAGCGAUUGGGGUUAAUACCCUCAGUCGUUGACGGUACCCUACGAGGAAGCCCCGGCUAACUCCGUG